rnacentral:rRNA from 1 species
CUCGCCUUCUGCCAGCGUUCUGGGGGAUCACAGUUCUGGCAGUCCAUCAUUCAGCUCCUCCCUGUCCUUCGGAUCACCUCGAUCGAGAUUGGUUCCGGCACCGCCACGCUGUUCUGGUUCGAUAGGUGGGCUGGCGACUUGCCCCUUGCGGCCCGCUUUCCGGACCUCUUCUCCAUGGCGGUUGCGCCACAGAUCUCCGUGGAGACCGCCCUUAUUGACUUAGGGCAACUAGCGUUCCGGAGACCUUUCGGCCCGGUUGAGAUCGAGGACUGCCAGGAGCUGCUCGACUGCAUUGCACUCCACGAACCUGAGCUCUCGACGGACGAUGACCGUGCUAGAUGGCGGCUAGAGCCUUUUAGGCAAUUCUCCACCAAAUCUCUAUACCUGGCCAUCGCCCCUCCGCUUGGCCAUGAGGUGCUCUCCUCCAUUUGGGAGAUCCGCCUCCCCCUGAAAAUUAGGAUCUUCUUGUGGCAAUGGAUUCGCGGCCGCCUCCCAUCUGGCGUUGAGGUUCUGAAACGCAAUGGCCCUGGGGAUGGGCGCUACCCGCUCUGUGGGCCUGAAGAAGAUUUGAACCAUAUCUUCUUCACCUGCGUGUCCGCGCAGUUCCUUUGGAGCUGUUUCCACGAGAUUGUGGGUGGAAAUUGGGACCAUAACAAUUUCCCCGCUCUCUUUGCCGAACUCCAGGCGAUCCCACCCGCGUUGCGCCACACUAGGUGGCUGACCAUUGGGGUCCUGGCCUGGAUGCUGUGGACUGUUAGGAAUAAACUUGUGAUUCAGCAUAUCCCUCUUCGUCGUGCUACUGACACUUUGUUCAAAUGGUCUGGUUACUUGCAGCUUUGGCGGCCGCUUAGCCGGCCCAGGGAGAGAGACGCCAUCACCUCCAUCAUCACCCAGCUUCGUGCAAUGGCUCUCCGGUUGGCGCCACCGCUUCCCCCACCACCUCCGGAACCAGAUUAG